UCAUAAAUGUUACUUAAAGUUUGGAUACUGAAUAUUCAGUCAAUGGUAAUGUACCAGUAACUGAAAAUAAUAAUUCCAAAGACACCAUAUUUUUGAAACUAUUAAAGCAGUACGUAGAUGUUUAUAGUAAAAUAUAGGAAAAAUAUAAAUUUUAUCGUUCAUCCGCCAAACAACCUCUUGCAUUUUUAGGAGGCCCCCAAAGUUUCACUUUAUCAACUUAAUCGCUAGAUGCGCCACUCUGUAUAAAAUGUUUUCACAUCAAAAAUAUUUUGCACUCAAUAAUAUUACUCAUAAUUAGAGCAGGGGACUUGUAGCAUUUGUAUAUUUUUUUGUGCACAGUCACAAAAAUAACAGAGUACGAAACAAAUACGUUUUAUGCUUCCACAAAGCUAGUGUUGAAAUUUUAUUGUGCAUAUAAAUGCAUAUUUUGCGUGGCUCAGUACACGGGCUAAAUUAGAAGCCAAAAACUAUGAUGUAAAUAUAAUCAAUAUCACAAUUCUAAACGAAAUUCCAGGCGACACGAUAACGUACCAAUUCAUCGAUUGCGUAUUGAAUCAAGACGAAGUAGUCAAAUAGGUAUCCAACUGAAUUCUUAAAUUCACUAGAUUUGUCAGGUAUGCCAUCGCACGUCCUAACAUUGAAAUUUAACGGGCCCAUAAUUAUUCUACGAAAUAUAAAUUCACCAUGACUCUACAACGGUAUCAGAGUUUCAGUGAAAAAGCUGAUGAACAACAUUAUCGGAGCAACAAUUUUAAACGGAAAAAUUUACUGUUACCACGGAUCCCAAUGAUUUCAAUAUAUAUGAUUUUCAAAUUCAAACGUUUGCAGUUUCCGGUGCGUCUCACCUUUGCAAUAAUCAUCAAUAAAGCACAAGGACAAUUUCUAAAAUUGCUACAAGUGUGUGGACUGAAUUUGGAAAAUCUAUGCUUCUCACAUGCAGGGAUGGCGCGAGGAGGGCCUCGCAAACUCUAGCACCGUCACUGCUCACAUGGACAGCUGUAUGUGGCAUGUUCAAGCGUCGGAAAACCUUCAGAUUUAUUUGCAUACGCACCAGAAGGUAGUACAAAAAAUAUUGUGUAAAAUGCACUUCAAUAAAUAUCAUUCACUUAAA